UCUUCUCUUUUACUGUGAGCCCUUAAC
rnacentral:piRNA from 1 species